GCGAGAGUGGCGAAAUUGGCAGACGCGCUGGACUUAGGAUCCAGUGCCUUAAUCGGCGUGGGGGUUCGACUCCCCCCUCUCGCA
rnacentral:tRNA from 1 species